GUGAGACUGGCCUUCAGGAAGCCAGGAGGGGAGGGCCCCAGGCUGGCUUUAAAGAAACUGUGGUGUUCAAGCACAAUAGAACUGCACAUCUAUUUCUCUGAACUUUGAAAAAGAAGGGAACUGUGUUUUUCAAGUUGUCCCCUAUUUGCGUUUUUUUCCUAUCAUUGCUGAAAAUUUGCUCUACAAGGAGAGAACAGCAGUGAAGUUCUCAGCAAUGAGAAGGGGGAUGAUAUUUGGCAGAUUUCAAAGCUCUUCCUUUAAGAGGCUCUGAAACUGUGAUUAUCUAUAAAUUGUCACUUCAAGGAAUGACUGUACAGUGACUCAGAAAUUUCCAGUUCUGAAGCUAAGCAGAACUUAAUGUAGACGUCUAAGAAAAAGUAACCUUUGAAUACUGACCUUUGUCUUGUUUCAGUAAAUCCUCUGUUGCACACAGUGUCUUGGUGAUUUUUUCACGGAUACUAUCAUAAAUGGAGAGACUGAAGUUUUGGAGCAGCUGGAAGACGUUGGGAAUGGCCCAGCUUUGCCCAACAUCUGCUUUUUUGGCUGGCUCUUCCAACAAAGCUGGGAAAAAGUAAGGCUCUGUAGGAGACCAAAUAAUGAGGAUGGAGGCCAAACUAACCUUCUCUGCGAGCACAAAAGAGAGAAGCACCAAGCUGUGCCUCCUGUGGUAACGUGCAGGCAGGCAUGCUAGCACACUGCAAGUUCCAGGAAAGUCAGUGCAGCUGACCUCUGGAUGUUUACCUGGGCACACGCUGUAGAUAACAAGAGGCAGAUGAAUCUUCUAUUAUCUAAUUGUUCAUCUAAGUGAAUAAAAGCGAGGUGAGCCAACCACUCAG
rnacentral:lncRNA from 1 species